UAUAGGUCCUGGAUGACUGGUAUACAGGUCCUGGAUGACUGGUAUACAGGUCCUGGAUGACUGGUAUACAGGUCCUGGAUGACUGGUAUACAGGUCCUGGAUGACUGGUAUACAGGUCCUGGAUGACUGGU